CCUUGGGUCUCAGAGAAUUUGAUCUGGUCAGGAUGAACGCUAGCUACAGGCUUAACACAUGCAAGUCGAGGGGCAGCAUGAAGGUAGCUUGCUACCUUGAUGGCGACCGGCGCACGGGUGAGUAACGCGUAUCCAACCUGCCCGCUACUCGGGUAUAGCCCAGUGAAAACUGGAUUAAUCCCCGAUGGCAUCUUACGCUGACAUCAAAGUAAGAUUAAAGGUUACGGUAGCGGAUGGGGAUGCGUCCGAUUAGCUAUGUUGGCGGGGUAACGGCCCACCAAGGCGACGAUCGGUAGGGGUUCUGAGAGGAAGGUCCCCCACAUUGGAACUGAGACACGGUCCAAACUCCUACGGGAGGCAGCAGUGAGGAAUAUUGGUCAAUGGGCGAGAGCCUGAACCAGCCAAGUAGCGUGCAGGAUGACGGCCCUAUGGGUUGUAAACUGCUUUUAUCAGGGAAUAAAGUGCGGCACGUGUGCCGUUUUGUAUGUACCUGACGAAUAAGGACCGGCUAAUUCCGUGCCAGCCGCGGC
rnacentral:rRNA from 1 species